rnacentral:lncRNA from 1 species
CUCUCCCCGACGCUUCCGCCGGCGGCCCAGUCCCUUGCCCUGGGACCCCAGCCUGUAGUGUUUGGAGACCCCGGCUCCUCUUCUAUUUCUCUUGAUCUGGGGUCCGGCUGGCGAUAGUGUCCGCGGUGCGCCCCUUUCUCUUGGUCGUUUAUGACCUCCACGUCGUCUUUUCUUCAGGUGCGUUGGGCCCCCUCCUCGGGUGUUCUCUCACGGCCCAGCAAUCAGGGCCUGUGCGGCUCAAGUUCAGCCUCAGCUUUGUCUGGUACCCCUUCCCUGGUGAGAGCUGAGAACUCAAGGACCAGACUCAACCUGCCCACAAGCUUUCUUCCCUUACCAGGGCAGAAAGCCUUUUCGUAUGACUCCAUGCUCUUUAACGUCUCCAAAGGACUAAUUUACAAACUUUUGAGCUCUAUGGCAUGGAGUUUUUUGUAGACAGAUUGAGACAUCCCAUUUCAGAUGAGGUUAUUAUCUACUCCAAUGUUCAGUGCCACAAAAUUAACUUUCAUACAGGUUACUUUUUUUUUUUUUUUUUUUGAGACGG